rnacentral:rRNA from 2 species
ACGGGAGGCAGCAGUGGGGAAUAUUAGGCAAUGGGGGAAACCCUGACCUAGCGACGCCGCGUGAAGGAUGAAGGUUUUCGGAUUGUAAACUUCUUUGGCAGAGGACGAUAAUGACGGUACUCUGAGAACAAGCCACGGCUAACUACGUGCCAGCAGCCGCGGUAAUACGUAGGUGGCGAGCGUUGUCCGGAUUUACUGGGUGUAAAGGGCGAGUAGGCGGGCUAACAAGUCAGAUGUGAAAUACCGAGGCUCAACUUCGGGGCUGCAUUUGAAACUGUAAGUCUUGAGUGAUGGAGAGGCAGGCGGAAUUCCCAGUGUAGCGGUAAAAUGCAUAGAGAUUGGGAGGAACACCAGUGGCGAAGGCGGCCUGCUGGACAUUAACUGACGCUGAGGAGCGAAAGUGUGGGGAGCAAACAGGAUUAGAUACCCUGGUA